GUAUUAUUAGUAUAAUUUAUUAUAUUACUUUUCCAAAGUAAUGAUCUACUUUGUGUAGAUAAUGCA
rnacentral:tRNA from 1 species